rnacentral:rRNA from 1 species
GGAAUUUUGCGCAAUGGGCGCAAGCCUGACGCAGCAACGCCGCGUGGAGGAAGAAGGCCCUCGGGUCGUAAACUCCUGUCCUUGGGGAAGAUGGUGACGGUACCCGGGGAGGAAGCCCCGGCUAAAUCCGUGCCAGCAGCCGCGGUAAUACGGGGGGGGCGAGCGUUGUUCGGAAUUACUGGGCGUAAAGGGCGCGUAGGCGGCCUGAGAAGUUCUGGGUGAAAGUCCUCGGCUCAACCGGGGAAUUGCCUGGAAAACCAUCGGGCUGGAGUGCUGGAGAGGCCGGCGGAAUUCCUGGUGUAGCGGUGAAAUGCGUAGAUAUCAGGAGGAACACCCGAGGCGAAGGCGGCCGGCUGGACAGACACUGACGCUGAGGCGCGAAAGCCAGGGGAGCAAAC